AUCUCGGUGGAACCUCCA
rnacentral:ncRNA from 4 species